AGCAAUAUAAUAUAACUUGGUGACUUUCUAUGUAAUCUUAUACUGUGGGUAUUCUGACAUCACACUUCUGACUGUGGAAUUACAGUGCAGCACUCUUCAUACCUGUAUGUUAAGCUUGCAUCAAAGCUGCGUGGUUUUCGGUUUUAAGCUUUGUCUUGUUCAGAGUCAAUAAGCAACUUACUGUGAUUCUUAGAUAAGUAUUUUCAGACCCGAUUCCUUUGUACAUGUGACUCGGCUUGUGUGGAUUUUUCUUAGUUCUGAUGUAACGAAGAUAUUCUUAGAACGAGCUCUGUGGGGAAGAGGGAAUGUGAUCUUACACUCACUUAACUAGUCAACUAGGUGCUGUCAGUGCCUAGAAAAGGACUGUUUAAACUUUCUGUAGUGACAAAGUGGCCCAUCUGCAGCACAUCCCUCUGUAGAGUCUUGGUUCAGUAGGAAAUGCGUUAGUAAUCACUGCUCUAGCCUUGUGUGCGCUACGUGAUAGUCACUUAAAGCUUGCUAAUACAGUCAACUUUGAGACUGAUGUGGAAUAUUUUUGAGGACAUACAAAUGAGUGCUUGAAUGAAUCCCUGUGGGUAGUUUCAUAGAGCUUAUUGGACAUUUCAGUUGUCUUUAUUUUAAUCUUUGAUAAGUGUAAUACAUUCCUCUGCCUUUAAUUGACAGUGAUGAGAUUCUGUAUUUCUGCCUCGUAGAGUCAUCUUGGUAGUAUAAUGCUCAAUUUCAUUUUUCAUCAGUCUUGGGGAUGUAAUUCUAAAUUCUUCGUUACUAGAAAUACUGAAUGUAGUGUUUCAGGAUUAACAUGCUUACACUUCCAGACAUCCAGACAUGCUGUUCUCCAAUUCUUUUGCAUUAGCUCUUGAACCUGAAUUUCAAGGUCCCUUGUUUCAGCACAUGACCUAGCUCUUGUCUGAUGUUCAGUUCAUUUCAGAGGUGUUGUAACGUGUUUUCCCGCUUGUUCUGCAAAGUUCUGCUUUGCACACUUGUUUCUGGUAUUAUUGUCACAUUUGGACCCUUCUGUGUUAUCUUCCAGGCGAGACUCUUGCUGGUGAACAGGGGAUCUGCUGGACAGCCUUGCCCUCUGCUGUAGCUAUCUUUUCAUGUUCCAUUGAAAGCUUGAAGUAGCAGCUACACCUUAAGAUCAUAAUAACAGGUCUUUGGUUACACCACAGUGAGUGUAACCGAACUCCAGCUAGUCAAGCAGUGACACCACUUGUCACAAAGUCAGUUUGGCUUUUCGUGAUGCCUUACUCUUACCUGUGACUAGAAUUCGAUAGCAAAACUGAUGGCAGUAUGCGUACUGUCGUGUAGCAAAACUGAAUUAUUAAUCUCUAAACCAGUGCUCAGAUCCAACUAGUUUUUCCAGUGUGCUCUGGAUACUUGACCUGCAGGGAUGUCGUGGAGGGGUUACUGGCACAUCUGCCUCAUUCUAUGUACUUGAACUAGCAGGUUUUUUACAUUCUUGGAGCAAGCAAUUUGUGACUGAACCAUGGGUCUCAUACCAGCUCUGACUGUCUGCAGUAAUGAAACUUGGUGUGGUAGCUAACUUAAAAGCAAAUAGUCAUGUCUGCUCUAAGUCAGUCUGUAACAAGUGGGUACAAGAAAUGACAUUAAAGUGCUUGCAUUGUGUUUCAUCUUGGUUUUAUCUGUGUGUGAAAUACACUUUUUCUCAAAAGCUUAUCUGAAGCUCAGAAGUGUGGUGUCAGAAUACAUAUGCGUACCUGCUAGGCCCUCAGAUCCAGAUACUGGUGCUGUCAGGAGAGAGCACAGCAUAGUGUGUAUGGGGGCUUUACUGUAACAUUAAGCAUACAAAGUGUUGAUUUGCUUGCAGUUUUCCCCAUAGCUAAACACUGAGGCCUGUGAGUAGUUUUAGGACUUGAGCAGUAAUGGGGUUGCAUGUCUCUGUUAAUCAUUGCCAGCUGCAGUGACAUGAUCAGGAAGGCCAGUGUUUUGUUCCAUUAUGUUAAAUGAGGCUAAGCAUGUUGGAAAGGAUGCAUAAAAAGUAUGCUGUUCUGGGUAAUUACUUGGCUUCUUCCACUAUUAGCAAGUUUGGAAUCGGCUAAUUAGCUUCAGAUUUUUUUUCUCUCCAUACCAGCUAGUGGGGCUCUUUAAAUAGCUGCUUACUGGAAAAGGAAAAAAAGGGAGGAUUGGCCUUCUCCCACCUCUGUCAUUGCUGCUAGAUAAUGAUUGACACGUUAGGACUUGGCUGUGCAAUCCCGCAGUGGUCUGUGAAUACCCCAUCUCUAUAAAUGUUGCUUCUGAACACCAGUACUGAAGAGCUAACUGGGGAGGGUUGGGAGGAGUGUGGCUAUAAGUGAAUCUGGAGUGUUAAAAGGAUGCACAAAGAUAUAGUAUCCCUUAUGCAUGGUGUUUGUUGCUAUGGCAUAGAAAACAAAACGUGCAUACUACACUUCUGCUCCUGAGGGCCAUGAUAAAACCCGGGUGGUGGGUUUGAGACUAAACUUGAACUUUGCCCUGCCUGGUCAGAUCACAUUGUGACCAUGGUGUGAUUUGCCUCCCAACUAGAGGUGUGCACAGAACCUUGUACUACUACAUCCCCAGCUGCUGACCAUUGCAGUUUGCCCUCAACUUUGCUAUAUAGCAAAAGGGUGGGUCUUCAGAAGGGAAGAAUCUGUUGCCGAGAAUAAAAGCAGUAGACUGACAGUGCUAACCUCUAGUGUCUUCCUUUGGCUUUUGAAGCACUUCUAGGACUAUCGAACCUGAGGGCUGCUAGGAGUCAGGGACGUUGCACUCCUUCAUGAAGGGGAAGAGAGAGGGCGUUACUACAGGAGACAAACUAGGGUAAAAUAGUUGAAGUAGCUUGACAAAAUUGUUAAUGCCUUCACAUAAGGGAUAGUAUACCUCUGGCUGCAAUCAAACUUCAUUGUACUCAGACUGGUGAUUUACGGUUUGUGCUCAGACAAGGUGCAGUUCUUGAGUCAACUACCUGCAUAUUCCUUCAUCUCUUUACAAGUGUUCAGGCUAGCCUAUUUCUGCCCCUUAUUCUUCCACUUAAUAUUUUGGAAUAAUUUGUAAAUUUCCCCUCGUAACUAAUCAGUCCAUGUAUCUUAAAACCUUAUUUUUAAGUUAGUUUUGAAAUGGUCAGAAUUUUCUGUGUAUUACUAUAAUAACUUCAGUUGUUAUCCUUUAGGUGAAGAUGAAAGCUGAGUGAAACCAGAGUGCUCAUCCAUGGGAAUUCAGGAGCCGAGCAUGAGCACAUCCAGCACAAUGCCCAGUGAUCUGUGGAGGGACCGAGAUAACAAGUGAACAAAAGAAGAUGAAGUCCGAAUGCAGUGAAGACGAGCCAGGAACAUACAAUUUUUAAAAAUAAACUAUCUAUUUUUUUCUAAA